rnacentral:rRNA from 2 species
CGGUUGAUCCUGCCGGACCUGACUGCUAUCGGAUUGAUACUAAGCCAUGCUAGUCUUUGUAGUAAUACAAGGCAUACGGCUCAGUAACGCGUAGUCAACCUACCCUAUGGACGGGGAUAAUCUCGGGAAACUGAGCAUAAUACCCGGUAGACCACUUAUCCUGGAAUGGUUAGUGGUUAAAAUGAUUCGUCGCCAUAGGAUGGGACUGCGGCCUAUCAGCUUGUUGGUGAGGUAAUGGCCCACCAAGGCGAUUACAGGCACGGGCUCUGAGAGGAGAAGCCCGGAGAUGGGUACUGAGACAAGGACCCAGGCCCUAUGGGGCGCAGCAGGCGAGAAAACUUUGCAAUGUGCGAAAGCACGACAAGGUUAAUCCGAGUGAUUUCUGCUAAAGGAAUCUUUUGUUAGUUCUAAAAAUACUAGUGAAUAAGGGGUGGGCAAGUUCUGGUGUCAGCCGCCGCGGUAAAACCAGCACCUCAAGUGGUCAGGAGGAUUAUUGGGCCUAAAGCAUCCGUAGCCUGUUCUAUAAGUUUGCGGUUAAAUCUAUACGCUCAACGUAUAGGCUGCCGUAAAUACUGUAGAACUAGGGAGUGGGAGAGGUAGACGGUACUCGAUAGGAAGGGGUAAAAUCCUUUGAUCUAUUGAUGACCACCUGUGGCGAAGGCGGUCUACCAGAACACGUUCGACGGUGAGGGAUGAAAGCUGGGGGAGCAAACCGGAUUAGAUACCCGGGUAGUCCCAGCUGUAAACGAUGCAGACUCGAUGAUGCAAUGGCAUAGAGCUAUUGCAGUAUCGCAGGGAAGCCGUUAAGUCUGCCGCCUGGGAAGCACGUUCGCAAGUAUGAAACUUAAAGGAAUUGGCGGGGGAGCAC